rnacentral:rRNA from 1 species
GAUGAACGCUGGCGGCGUGCCUAAUACAUGCAAGUCGAGCGAACGGACGAGAAGCUUGCUUCUCUGAUGUUAGCGGCGGACGGGUGAGUAACAAGUGGAUAACCUACCUAUAAGACUGGGAUAACUUCGGGAAACCGGAGCUAAUACCGGAUAAUAUUUUGAACCGCAUGGUUCAAAAGUGAAAGACGGUCUUGCUGUCACUUAUAGAUGGAUCCGCGCUGCAUUAGCUAGUUGGUAAGGUAACGGCUUACCAAGGCAACGAUGCAUAGCCGACCUGAGAGGGUGAUCGGCCACACUGGAACUGAGACACGGUCCAGACUCCUACGGGAGGCAGCAGUAGGGAAUCUUCCGCAAUGGGCGAAAGCCUGACGGAGCAACGCCGCGUGAGUGAUGAAGGUCUUCGGAUCGUAAAACUCUGUUAUUAGGGAAGAACAUAUGUGUAAGUAACUGUGCACAUCUUGACGGUACCUAAUCAGAAAGCCACGGCUAACUACGUG